UAACACCUGGAAACAGAUGCUAAUACCGGACAACAACAGAUGAUGCCUAUCAACUGUUUAAAAAAGUAUGGUUCUGCUAUCACUCUUGGAUGGACCUGCGGUGCAUUAGCUAGUUGGUAGGGUAACGGCCUACCAAGGCGAUGAUGCAUAGCCGAGUUGAGAGACUGAUCGGCCACAUUGGGACUGAGACACGGCCCAAACUCCUACGGGAGGCAGCAGUAGGGAAUCUUCCACAAUGGACGCAAGUCUGAUGGAGCAACGCCGCGUGAGUGAAGAAGGGUUUCGGCUCGUAAAGCUCUGUUGUUGGUGAAGAAGGACAGGGGUAGUAACUGACCUUUGUUUGACGGUAAUCAAUUAGAAAGUCACGGCUAACUACGUGCCAGCAGCCGCGGUAAAU
rnacentral:rRNA from 1 species